CGAGAAUCUUCGGCAAUGGGCGCAAGCCUGACCGAGCGACGCCGCGUGGAGGACGAAGGCCUUCGGGUUGUAAACUCCUGUCGAGGGGGAGGAAGGUCUCGCAAGAGACUUGACCGAUCCCUGGAGGAAGCACGGGCUAAGUUCGUGCCAGCAGCCGCGGUAAGACGAACCGUGCGAACGUUAUUCGGAAUCACUGGGCUUAAAGCGCGUGUAGGCGGGUCGGCACGUCCGUGGCUGAAAGCCCCCGGCUCAACCGGGGAAGUGGCGCGGAUACGGCCGAUCUGGAGGGGGGUAGGGGGACCUGGAACUUCCGGUGGAGCGGUGAAAUGCGUUGAGAUCGGAAGGAACGCCCGUGGCGAAAGCGAGGUCCUGGACCCUUUCUGACGCUGAGACGCGAAAGCCAGGGGAGCGAAC
rnacentral:rRNA from 1 species